AUUAUAUGAUGAGGAACCAGAUAGGGACAACAGAUUCUCAAGUGACGAGGAACAUCUUUUAAAGCCCAGUUUUUAGUAGAGCUUAGGGCGCCUUUACUGACU
rfam:Saccharomyces cerevisiae AWRI796 chromosome XI, whole genome shotgun sequence.